UACGUAGGGGGCAAGCGUUAUCCGGAUUUACUGGGUGUAAAGGGAGCGUAGGCGGUUCAGCAAGUCAGAAGUGAAAGCCCGGGGCUCAACUCCGGGACUGCUUUUGAAACUGUUGAACUAGAUUGCAGGAGAGGUAAGUGGAAUUCCUAGUGUAGCGGUGAAAUGCGUAGAUAUUAGGAGGAACACCAGUGGCGAAGGCGGCUUACUGGACUGUGAAUGACGCUGAGGCUCGAAAGCGUGGGGAGCAAACAGG
rnacentral:rRNA from 1 species